CCUGGAUUCCGUAUCCAACGUUUGACCCGUUCGUCUUAUUUGAAAAAGUUAUGAAAAAAAUUAAAAAGACAAGUCACGCAUAAAAUAUUAAUCAUAUUUUAUCAUCUAACAAUAAUGAAAAUACGAAUUAUAAAAAAAAUUUUAUAUAAGACAGACAGUCAAAGUUGGAUACGAAAACUCAGAGUUUGCUUUUUU
rfam:Oryza nivara chromosome 3, whole genome shotgun sequence.